rnacentral:rRNA from 1 species
CCUUUGACGAUUGACUCAUGUUGCCUCGGCGGGUUCUCCCGCCAGAGGAUACAUCAAAACUCCUGUUUUAACGGUGUUGUCUGAGCUACAAGCAACGAAUCAAAACUUUCAACAACGGAUCUCUUGGUUCUGGCAUCGAUGAAGAACGCANCGAAAUGCGAUAAGUAGUGUGAAUUGCAGAAUUCAGUGAAUCAUCGAAUCUUUGAACGCACAUUGCGCCCCUUGGUAUCCCGAGGGGCAUGCCUGUUCGAGCGUCAUUUCACCACUCAAGCCUGGCUUGGUGUUGGGCGACGUCCCCUUUAGGGACGCGCCUCGAAACGCUCGGCGGCGUGGCACCGGCUUUAAGCGUANCAGAAUCUUUCGCUUUAAAAGUCGGGGCCCCGUCUGCCGGAAGACCUACUCGCAAGGUUGACCUCGGAUCANGCAGGGAUACCCGCUGANCUUAAGCAUAUCAAUAAGCGGAGGAA